rnacentral:rRNA from 1 species
UGGGGAAUUUUGGACAAUGGGGGAAACCCUGAUCCAGCCAUCCCGCGUGUGCGAUGAAGGCCUUCGGGUUGUAAAGCACUUUUGGCAGGAAAGAAACGUCAUGGGUUAAUACCCCGUGAAACUGACGGUACCUGCAGAAUAAGCACCGGCUAACUACGUGCCAGCAGCCGCGGUAAUCCGUAGGGUGCAAGCGUUAAUCGGAAUUACUGGGCGUAAAGCGUGCGCAGGCGGUUCGGAAAGAAAGAUGUGAAAUCCCAGAGCUCAACUUUGGAACUGCAUUUUUAACUACCGGGCUAGAGUGUGUCAGAGGGAGGUGGAAUUCCGCGUGUAGCAGUGAAAUGCGUAGAUAUGCGGAGGAACACCGAUGGCGAAGGCAGCCUCCUGGGAUAACACUGACGCUCAUGCACGAAAGCGUGGGGAGCAAACAGG